GAAAUACUCCCUCCGUCCCAAAAUACUUGUCGGAGCAAUGGAUAAAAAUGAAUGUAUCUAGAACUAAAAUACAUCUAGAUACAUCCAUUCCUCCGACAAGUAUUUCCGAACGGAGGGAGCAUAAG
rfam:Triticum aestivum genome assembly, contig: Triticum_aestivum_CS42_TGACv1_scaffold_049385_1BS